CAGUCAAAUCACACUGAAACACUGGUUCUCGUGACGAUCACCGAAGUUAAGCAGCGUAGAGCCAGGUCAGUACUUAGAUGGGGGACCGCUUGGGAACACCUGGUACUGUAAG
rnacentral:rRNA from 1 species